UGGGGAAUAUUGAACAAUGGGCGCAAGCCUGAUCCAGCAAUGCCGCGUGUGUGAAGAAGGUCUUCGGAUUGUAAAGCACUUUCGACGGGGACGAUGAUGACGGUACCCGUAGAAGAAGCCCCGGCUAACUUCGUGCCAGCAGCCGCGGUAAUACGAAGGGGGCUAGCGUUGCUCGGAAUGACUGGGCGUAAAGGGCGCGUAGGCGGUUUGUACAGUCUGGUGUGAAAUUCCCGGGCUCAACCUGGGGGCUGCACUUGAUACGUAGGAACUGGAGUGGGGAAGAGGGUCGUGGAAUUCCCAGUGUAGAGGUGAAAUUCGUAGAUAUUGGGAAGAACACCGGUGGCGAAGGCGGCGACCUGGUCCUUGACUGACGCUGAGGCGCGAAAGCGUGGGGAGCAAACAG
rnacentral:rRNA from 1 species